rnacentral:rRNA from 1 species
UACGGAGGGUGCAAGCGUUGUCCGGAUUUAUUGGGUUUAAAGGGUGCGUAGGUGGCCCGUUAAGUCCGGGGUGAAAGCCCACUGCUCAACAGUGGAACUGCCCUGGAUACUGGCGGGCUUGAGUCCAGACGAGGUUGGCGGAAUGGAUGGUGUAGCGGUGAAAAUGCAUAGAUACCAUCCAGAACCCCCGAUUGCGUAGGCAGCUGACUAGGCUGGUACUGACACUGAGGCACGAAAAGCGUGGGGGAGCGAACAGGG